UACGUAGGGUGCAAGCGUUAUCUGGAUUCACUGGGUUUAAAGGGUGCGUAGGCGGGCCGGUAAGUCAGUGGUGAAAUCUCCGGGCUUAACCCGGAAACUGCCGUUGAUACUAUCUGUCUUGAAUAUCGUGGAGGUAAGCGGAAUAUGUCAUGUAGCGGUGAAAUGCUUAGAUAUGACAUAGAACACCCAUUGCGAAGGCAGCUUACUACACGAUCAUUGACGCUGAGGCACGAAAGCGUGGGGAGCAAACAGG
rnacentral:rRNA from 1 species